UUUUCCCCUCAUAAUGUCCACUUGCCUUUGCAUUACAUCAGUGUCCCCACAAUGAUGUCCAGCAUCUAGAAUGUUUCCCAUGGGCAAAUGUGGACAAAUUCUAAAUAGAAAUUUUAAUAUGGGCCAUCUUCGCCUUCAAGAAUACUCCUUAACAUUCAUUGCUGUCUAGUAAAAGAAUCUAUAUCAGAAAGAAAAAUAGUAUGAAAAAGUUUUGUGCACUCAUAAAUAUCUUAUUUAGAUAUCAUUUUCUAUUGAGCAAUAAUAGACUAGCUACAAUGCUCACAAACAACUCCGAAGAAUCACAGUUAGCUCCCCAGGACUUCUGCCUAUAGGGAAGCCCGCAAUCCAGUCACAUUACCCCCAAAUUUUACUGCUAAAAAUGAUUAAUUAGGCACAAAUCCUAAUUUCGUUAUUCUCUUUGAGUGUUGGUUUUAGUUUUUAACUUAUUUCUUUUCACAUCUUUCCUCAAUUUAAUAGACUAAGUCGUUGGGUGAAGACCAAUUUCUACAGGCAAAAACAGGAGUCGUUGGGUGAACUUUCAAAAGUAGGGGUUAAUAAAAGAAUUCCAGCCAUGUGCUCGAAAGAUAACUUUUUUUUUUUGGUAACACAAAAGAUAACUAUUUUGCCGACCAUUCGACUCUGCUAUUUAGAAAAGCGGAGAUCUAUAUGCGUGUCCCUUCAGACCAUUCUCCCAAUGGAGAGAUCCAUUUUGGACGCGUGCAGUUUAAGUUUUUUGUUUUUGGCUCAGACUCCUCCGUAGGUGCGUAGUAAGUGGACACUGUUUUUGAUAUAGUAGUAUGUGGACACUUAUUCUGAUGGAAAAAACAUUAGAAAUUUAUACCUAGGGAUUGGCUUAUAUCAACCCCUGUAGCAGUGUUUAGUUGGUCAAUGGCUAAGUCAAGCCUUUUGUUAUUCAUCAUCUUCCUGCAUUGGAGCCCAAAGAUAGUUCCUCUCACAUAACCAAUCAAAUUACUUAAAACCCAAAUGCUAGGGAUUAGACAGUCCCAGACUUGAUCAAACUGCCUGAUCUGGCCAAAUGCAACAUGCUUUGUUGAUCUCUGGAAAUCACC
rnacentral:lncRNA from 1 species